AAACCAACAGGGAUUGCCUCAGUAGCGGCGAGUGAAGCGGCAAAAGCUCAAAUUUGAAAUCUGGCUCUUUCAGAGUCCGAGUUGUAAUUUGAAGAGGGUAUCUUUGGGCCUGGCUCUUGUCUAUGUUUCUUGGAACAGAACGUCACAGAGGGUGAGAAUCCCGUGCGAUGAGAUGACCCAGGUCCGUGUAAAGUUCCCUCGACGAGUCGAGUUGUUUGGGAAUGCAGCUCUAAGUGGGUGGUAAAUUCCAUCUAAAGCUAAAUAUUGGCGAGAGACCGAUAGCGAACAAGUACAGUGAUGGAAAGAUGAAAAGAACUUUGAAAAGAGAGUGAAAAAGUACGUGAAAUUGUUGAAAGGGAAGGGCUUGAGAUCAGACUUGGUAUUUUGCAUGUUGCUUCUUCGGGGGCGGCCUCUGCGGCUUACCGGGCCAGCAUCAGUUUGGGCGGUCGGACAAUCGCGCGGGAACGUGGCACGGCCUCGGCCGUGUGUUAUAGCCCGUGUGGAUACUGCCAGCCUAGACUGAGGACUGCGGUUUUAUACCUAGGAUGUUGGCAUAAUGAUCUUAAGUCGC
rnacentral:rRNA from 1 species